rnacentral:lncRNA from 1 species
GAAUAAAAAUGUAUUCAAGCAAAAAGGAUCAUGUUUGCGCUGUGCUCUGUAGAAUCAUGUCCGGAUCAGACUUGACUAGUCGUGGCUGUGAUGCACACAAGAAAGUUUGUCGAAGUCUGGACAAGUUGCUCAGAAUCACCGACAGAAUCGCCAUGGAGUUCCCCACGAUACCAAGGACCGCUACAACGAUCUACACGGAGCCUAUGAACACCAACUCACCAUAGGAGUAGGAAAGUUCAGCUGGACUGUCAGUCAUGGAAGCUGUGGUAGCACUGUCCUCUUUGAAACUCAGAGCCAAUUCCUGGAUUACAUCGGAUUGCUCAAAAUAUUGGUGUAGACUGUGCUCCUGCUAUGGUUGGAUGGGAUUUCCACGGCGGCUUUUGUCACCCAGUAUUCGAUGGAUAUGUAGUCUGCAAGGAAUUUAGUGACAUUCUCCUUGAUAGUUGGAAUAAGGACAAAACAGAGAGAGAGCAGAAAUUAAAUCAGAAAAGAAGAACCCGGGCUACGAAGAACUGGAAAGCAUUGGUUACUGGUGUUUUAAUAAGAGAGCGACUUAAUAAACGUUUUCAAAGAAGUAUUUGUGCAAAUGCUGUCAGUGAUGCUGGCAAUGAGUCAUGGCCAGUUAACAAGUUCAGCAAGUUGCAUCAGGAUUAAUGAAUACACAAGACUAGACAAGAUGCUUGAUGUUGUAGUCAAGUUCUUUUGAGUACGAAGUUCACUGCCAAAUAUUGAACUGCUUUUAAAUCUUAUUAGCCAGUGAUGAUCUAAAGGUUUCAUGAUCUGAAUUUGCACCUCAAAGUAUUAGACUACAACACUACAGAUGCUACACAGUUAUGAUAAGUUUCUUAUAGAGAAAUUUCUCAUUUAAUUAUACCACUGUGCAUUAUACGGUGUACAGUGUAUACAAAUCAGAGUUUCAUAGGAGCAGUAAGGAGAAUUCUUUCAUGAGGUGACAGAUUUAAAGCUGAGCGGAGUGGAAUAGCAUUCAAUCUGUCACCAAGUAUAAUUUGUGCAUGAGUGUGAUGUUCUUUAUGUUAUACAUUGCCUGAAUAAAUCCUCUUUGUGGACGAAUUGCCAUCUUUCCUUCUCAGCCUGGCAUAAAAUUGUGACAUGAAGUCACUUAAAAAUCAGUUCGUGCUUCUUUCAACAGAUUUUCUGGGUUUGUUGCAAAUAAUUUGAAACAUAUCUAGGUAUUCAGAUAUUCUUCACGUAACCAGUGCUCUGUGUUUACCGUCAGCUUUCUGCCAUUUUGAGCUGCAGGUAUCACUAGCAUCCAAUUUUUAUAUUUAAGAUUAGCUGCUACAGACAGCACUGAUUUAUGGUAUGGUUUUUGUGGAGGUAUUAUCUACAGCACUGUUUUUGUGGUACGUGUGCAAGAUAGAGUGGUCAGAAUAUUUCAUGUCAUGUAACCUGUAGUUCACUUAUCGGAUAUGAGAGGGAUGUUUUCCCUGUAACGUGGGACAUAUUUUAACCUGAGAGUCUCAUAGCACCUGAGGUGAAGCGACGGGAGCUGUGCAUCCCUGACAUUGUUAAACAUUAUGUCCCACAUCACAGCAGUCAAAAGUUGUUUUGUUAUGCCUCUGUCUUCAAUUCUUAAAGUAUUUUCUCACUUGCAGAACUCAGAUUUAAUCGAAAUGAUAAAGUUUUUGGUCCACUGCUGCACAGAAGGUUUUAUGAAGCACAUGCACUCAAUGCUUCAAUGUAUUGUUUGUAUUGUUUGCAUCUUGCUUGAAGUCAAUAUCUUUGUGUUUUUAAAAAAAUCUUUGAGGAAUAUCUGCGUGUCUUCAAGCUGACAAACAUUAUAUUUAGGGAUGUUUACAAAGAAACAAACUUCAAUUUUCACCCUCUGUAAAUAAUUGCAGUAUUCAAGCAGCUGAUAUCGUAUGAUCAGCUGUUUGGAACACUGCAACUUUUCAUUGGUAGUUGGAACAUGAUCAUUUGAAGUUCAUCACUCCUCCCAGCGUUUACUAUUAAUAACUGUAUGGUGAAAGUAGCAGAAGAACCAAUCAAGCAGUCCUCACAUUAUAGUUCAGAAUGAUUGGUAUAGACUAUUAUGCGAUAUCAGUAUGUGAUGAGAUGUGAUAUCUAAUGGUGAGGGUGACAGAUCAUGUGAUCAUUUUGGCUAAGGAAAAAUACUGUGUGCCAGACAGAGAUAUAAACAUUAAGAACUUAAGAAAUCAUUGCUUUGCAAAUUUGGUAUUGUUUGAGUUUAGUAUGCCUUUAUGUAAAAAAUGAGAUAUCAAAAAAAUAAAAAGCUGUCAUGUUACAGUCUGAUUAA